rnacentral:misc_RNA from 1 species
UUCCGCUGCCUGCGCGCCUCG